GUUGGUAGAUUCAGCUGUGCUGGGCAUCCUGGCUGAGUAACAGAGACAGUGAAUGUAAACAAUUAAGAUGUUCUAAUAAAGGAACCCAAAGAGGGUCCCAGAGGCUAGAAUAUCUACCUCCUGGGGGCAAACAGAGGUUUCCUAAGAACAUGUCAUCUGAGCAGAGUCCUCAAGUAAGACUAGGAGUUGCAUGGGGAGAGGAGGGGAAGGUAGGCCUGCAGACGGCUAGGUGAGCACAGGCACGGGGUGUGGAACAUUUAGCUUAUGGCAAGAGCAGAGGGUACAAAGGAAGGAGAGAGAGGAGGUGGGAUGGGAAGGUCAAUUGUGCCAACUAAGAUUUUUUUCCUGUAGUAAGGGGGAGGGAGGGCCUGAAGGACUUUAAACAGGUGAGCCAUGCAAUCAGCUGUGCUUUGGGAGGAUAGCUCUGGUGGUGACAUGGAGCCUUGAGGAUGGGACUAUACGCAUGAGACUGGGAUCAGAGUGGAGGCAGCUGGCAAGGAGGCAGUCAGGAGACCCUACUAAUAUAGGGAAUCCAAAUGAAGGAGAAAAAUCAUGAUGGCACAGCUAGAAACUAAUAGAGAAGAAAAAAUACCCCAGGCAUUUUGGCCUUGUUUUACAACAUAUUUCUUAGCUUUUUGAUGGCAAUGGAAGCUUUUUUGAAGUUGUCUUUUGUUUCCUGCCUUUACUGUAUGCUCUGAAUUCCCUUCUCUUUCAUGCUUUUUGGUUUGCAUCUAUUCUUUCAUAUUGGAGGCUUUGCUCAAACAUUCUGUGGACCUUAUCUGUUUGCAUAUAUUUAAAUGCAAGGCACUGAAAGACAAAAGACCUAUUCAAGGCAGAGUACAAAGUGGACCAGGGCAGGCUGAUUUCUCAACCUCUCUGUCGUGAGUUGACUCGUGUACUCCCAAAAGCUAUGUUGAAGUUCUAACCCCGGUACCUGUGAAUGUGGCCAUGUUUGGAAAUAGGGUCUUUGCAGAUGUUAGUUAUCAAGGUAAGGUGAGAUCAUAUUGGAUUAGAAUGGGCCCUAAAUCCAAUGGUUUGUGUCUUUAUAAGAAGGUCAUGUGAAAACACAGACACAAAAGAACGUUAUGUGAAGGCAGAGGCAGAGGAUGUCAAGAACUGCUAGCAGCCAUCAGCAACGAGGAGAGAUGCAUGGAACGGACUCUCCCUCAGAGCCUUCACAAGGAACCACCCCUGCUGACACCUGAAUUCUAGCUUCUAGAACUGUGAGCAAAUACAUUUCUGUUAUUUUAAGCCACCCAGUUUGCUGUACUUUGUUACAGCAGCCCUCGGAAACUAACAUAUCCACCCUUGGCUGUUCCUAACUCCUGAGCCUCUCAGGCAUUCCUUCUGAAAGGCAGAUCGGCUGGCUCCCUGUUGCUCUCCCCUUGUGCAGACAUUCUGGGAGAUUACUUCCUUCUUAGCUUCCAAUAUUUGAGGAUAGCUUAUCUCCACUUAUUUUCUGUUUCCUUCAGAGUGUAUAUCUUUCUUUGAAAAAAAGAAAUGCAACUUUAUUAUUUCUAAUCAUGCUUAAUACUAUUAAAUAAGUCAAUAAAAUGAGGCA
rnacentral:lncRNA from 1 species